CUCUUCUUCUUUUUCACACCCCACCCGUAUCUUCUUCUUAUUCCUCAUUUUUAUUCUUUUAUUUUUCAUACCCUAUUUUCAUCCACAUCACCCCCACCCCACCUCCCCAGAAUCAUCUUCCCCUCCCCCCCUCCCCUCCCCUCCUCAAUCAUAUACUAUUUUAAUUCUUCUCCAAUUUCACCAUAUAUAUUAUAUUCGAUUUUUCUCUUAAACUUUGUUGGUGGUUGAUAAAAUUGAUGUCUGAGUUUUAAAAAAAAAUAAUGGUGGAUUUAUUGGUGAUGUUUGGUAGGUGGCAAAGAAGAGGGAAUUGAAGGUGGUGAAGAAAAAAAAUUAAAAUUGAUAAUGGUGGAGGUGAUAUUUGGUGGUGGAUUUUGUAUUUUUUAAUGGUGAUGAUGUGAUUCUAGUGAUGAGUUUGGUUAUGGGUGUUGAAUUUUGUGGUGGUUCUUUACAAUUUUUGUGGGAAUGACGGUGGUAGUGUGACUCCGAUGGUGGGUUUGAUCGUAUGUGGGGAAAUUUGUGGUGUCCAGUUUAAUUUUUGAUGGUGAAAUAUAUAAAUUUGGUACUAAUACGAUGGUAAUGGUGGUGGUUCCAUGGUGUUGUUCUUUGAAGAAGAAAUAAUUGAAUGAUAUGUCGAUUUUUUUUCGAAAUCUAACAAGACAUCUGAUGUGGUAGUGAGAUAACAUUGACGUGACACGAGUAUGAUACACCUCACAUUGUGAAAAUAGUGUUAUAGGUCUUAUAGGUAAAUAAAUUUACUCUUGAAUAGUAUAGGGGUG
rnacentral:lncRNA from 1 species